rnacentral:rRNA from 1 species
AUUUGAGUGAGUGGCGGACGGGUGAGUAACACGUGGGUAACCUGCCCUAAAGUGGGGGAUAACAUUUGGAAACAGAUGCUAAUACCGCAUAAAACCUAACACCGCAUGGUGUAGGGUUGAAAGAUGGUUUCGGCUAUCACUUUAGGAUGGACCCGCGGUGCAUUAGUUAGUUGGUGAGGUAAAGGCUCACCAAGACCGUGAUGCAUAGCCGACCUGAGAGGGUAAUCGGCCACACUGGGACUGAGACACGGCCCAGACUCCUACGGGAGGCAGCAGUAGGGAAUCUUCCACAAUGGACGAAAGUCUGAUGGAGCAACGCCGCGUGAGUGAAGAAGGUUUUCGGAUCGUAAAACUCUGUUGUUGGAGAAGAAUGUAUCUGAUAGUAACUGAUCAGGUAGUGACGGUAUCCAACCAGAAAGCCACGGCUAACUACGUGCCAGCAGCCGCGGUAAUACGUAGGUGGCAAGCGUUGUCCGGAUUUAUUGGGCGUAAAGCGAGCGCAGGCGGUUUCUUAAGUCUGAUGUGAAAGCCUUCGGCUCAACCGAAGAAGUGCAUCGGAAACUGGGAAACUUGAGUGCAGAAGAGGACAGUGGAACUCCAUGUGUAGCGGUGAAAUGCGUAGAUAUAUGGAAGAACACCAGUGGCGAAGGCGGCUGUCUGGUCUGUAACUGACGCUGAGGCUCGAAAGCAUGGGUAGCAAACAGGAUUAGAUACCCUGGUAGUCCAUGCCGUAAACGAUGAGUGCUAGGUGUUGGAGGGUUUCCGCCCUUCAGUGCCGCAGCUAACGCAUUAAGCACUCCGCCUGGGGAGUACGACCGCAAGGUUGAAACUCAAAGGAAUUGACGGGGGCCCGCACAAGCGGUGGAGCAUGUGGUUUAAUUCGAAGCAACGCGAAGAACCUUACCAGGUCUUGACAUCCUUUGACCCUCUAGAGAUAGAGCUUUCCCUUCGGGGACAAAGUGACAGGUGGUGCAUGGUUGUCGUCAGCUCCGGUCCUGAGAUGUUGGGUUAAGUCCCGCACGACGCCACCCUUUUACUAGUGCCAGCUUUAGUUGGGCCUCUAU